rnacentral:lncRNA from 1 species
CCACUUGGUCCCUAUAAAUGGUUAUGUCUAGGGUUCUGGGUACUAGGUGCCACACACUGUUUCUCUCAAACUGAUAAAAUUCAUCAUGGUUGUAAUCCAAUUUGCAUCUUUUAAGGCUUCCUUGAUGUUCUUGGGUUCAGUAUUGGAGAGAAAGGCUGAGAAGGCAAGUGAAUUUCUAGCUCUUGAACUGGUUUGAACUCCAAAAUCUAGAGGAGUGAUUAUGUUGUAUAUAGGGUGAGAACUUUGAUGUCUCAAGUUAGAUGUCUGGGGUUCAUUCUGAGAAGAAGAAGGAAUGUUUGGCUCAUUC